rnacentral:rRNA from 1 species
GACGAACGCUGGCGGCGUGCUUAACACAUGCAAGUCGAACGGCAAGGCCCUGCUUUUGUGGGGUGCUCGAGUGGCGAACGGGUGAGUAACACGUGCGUAACCUGCCCUUGACUUUGGGAUAACUUCAGGAAACUGGGGCUACUACCGGAUAGGAGCUCCUGCUGCAUGGUGGGGGUUGGAAAGUUUCGGCGGGUGGGGAUGGACUCGCGGCUUAUCAGCUUGUUGGUGGGGUAGUGGCUUACCAAGGCUUUGACGGGUAGCCGGCCUGAGAGGGUGACCGGCGACAUGGGGACUGAGAGACGGCCCAGACUCCUACGGGAGGCAGAAGGGGGGAAUAUGGCACAAUGGGCGGAAGCGGGAGGCAGCAACGCCGCGUGCGGGAUGACGGCCUUCGGGUUGUAAACCGCUUUCGCCUGUGACGAAGCGUGAGUGACGGUAAUGGGUAAAGAAGCACCGGCUAACUACGUG